CCAAACCCCCAUUCUGAAUCCCAAAUCUCCCUUUUUGGCCCUAAAUCCCCCACUUUUGUCACCCCCAGCCUCUUUUUCUCCCCAUUUUCCCUCCCCACAUUUUCCAUCCCUAUUCAUCCCUAAACUCUCCCUUUCUCUCCCAAAAACGCCUCUUUCCUCCCCAAAUCCUCCCCAAAAAUGGUUCUUUUCUCCCCAAAAAUGGCUUUUUCCUCCCCAAAACUUCCUCUUUUCUCCCCAAAUCCUCCCCUUUCCUCCCAAAUCCUCCUCUUUCCUCCCAAAAAUGGCUCUUUCCUCCCCAAAUCCUCCCCAAAAAUGGUUCUUUUCUCCCCAAAAAUGGCUUUUUCCUCCCCAAAACUUCCUCUUUUCUCCCCAAAUCCUCCUCUUUCCUCCCAAAAAUGGUUCUUUUCUCCCCAAAAAUCCCUUUUUCCUCCCCAAACCUUCCCCUUUUCCCCCCAAAUCCUCCCCUUUCCUCCCAAAAAUGGCUUUUUUCUCCUCAAAACUUCCUCUUUCCUCCCCAAAUCCUCUUCUUUCCUCCCCAAAAAUGGUUCUUUUCUCCCCAAAUCCUCCCCAAAAAUGGCUUUUUUUUCCCCAAAAAUCCCUUUUUCCUCCCCAAACCUUCCCCUUUUCCCCCCAAAUCCUCCCCUUUCCUCCCAAAAAUGGCUUUUUUCUCCUCAAAACUUCCUCUUUCCUCCCCAAAUCCUCUUCUUUCCUCCCCAAAAAUGGUUCUUUUCUCCCCAAAUCCUCCCCAAAAAUGGCUUUUUUUUCCCCAAAAAUCCCUUUUUCCUCCCCAAACCUUCCCCUUUUCCCCCCAAAUCCUCCCCUUUCCUCCCAAAAAUCCCUUUUUUCUCCCCAAAUCCGCGUUUUUGCCCCCAAAUCUCCGAUUUUCCCCAGGGCAGAGGAUGGUGCUGGUGGCCUGUGGCCCCUUCACGCCCUCGGACGGCGUCGCCUUCGAGCCCCUCAGUGACCUCCUGGACGUGGUGGCCCGCGACCGCCCCGACCUCUGUAUCCUGCUUGGGCCGUUCCUGGACGCCAAACACGAGCAGGUGGAGAGCUGCCAACUCCUGAGCUCCUUCUCCGAUGUUUUCCAGCUCUGCCUCAGGACCAUCAUCGAGGGCACCAGGAGGUGACCACAGAAACAACCCCAAAAUAUUCC
rnacentral:lncRNA from 1 species